rnacentral:tRNA from 4 species
CGGGGUGUAGCGCAGCCUGGUAGCGCACUUGCAUGGGGUGCAAGGGGUCGCGAGUUCGAAUCCCGCCAUCCCGACCA